rnacentral:SRP_RNA from 12 species
ACCCGAGCUAGCCUCAAGGUCGAGGCCAAAGUCAAGGAGGUGCUGGCCAUGCAACUCCCGACCCCUGGCGGCCACACCGCCCUUCUCCUGCCGGUUCACCGGGACCAGGAGGCCCUGGUCCCUCUUCCGCAG